GAGAUCGCUACAUGUAAUAGUAGAAGUCUCCUCCGCUAGCAAGCAGGUGAUUGCUGGGAGGGAACGCUUCCCUCCCGACAAUUGUCUGCCACAUCGGGCUGUUUAAUACUGCCUUAAGUCUUUACAUCAGCCAU